ensembl:snoRNA
UGGACCAGUGAUGAUAACUGGUGGCGUUUGAGUCAUGGAUGAUAAAUAAAAUGUGUCUGAAACUCUGAGGUCCAA